rnacentral:tRNA from 1 species
UCGAAAUUGGUAGACGCUACGGACUUAAAAUCCGUUGGCUUUAUUGACCGUGAGGGUUCAAGUCCCUCUACCCCCA